GCCCGGCUAGCUCAAUCGGUAGAGCGUGAGACUCUUAGCUUUCACGUCCUAAAUAGACUCGAUUGGUUAUCUCAAGGUUGUGGGUUCGACCCCCACGUCGGGCU
rnacentral:tRNA from 2 species